UCUAACCUACGGGGGGCAGCAGUGGGGAAUAUUGCACAAUGGGCGAAAGCCUGAUGCAGCAACGCCGCGUGAAGGAAGAAGGGUUUCGGCUCGUAAACUUCUUUCAACAGGGACGAAAGAAAUGACGGUACCUGAAUAAGAAGCCCCGGCUAACUACGUGCCAGCAGCCGCGGUAAUACGUAGGGGGCAAGCGUUAUCCGGAAUUACUGGGUGGAAAGGGGGAGUAGGCGGCAUGGUAAGGCAGAUGUGAAAGCCUUGGG
rnacentral:rRNA from 1 species